CCGUGAUUUACAACCGUUCCAAUUUAACAAGAAACUCAAAGUGCGUAUUUGCAGAAUGUGGCGACCAAAACUUAUUGGAUCUACUGAUCAAUUUGGCGGCCUUCAGUGUAUCUUGGUUGACCAAAAGGUAAGAAAAUCUCUUUUCCGUGUUAUUUCAAUUUAAUUAUAAUAACACCACUUAAAGACACCCUUUGUUUAAUAUCUGUUUCUAUUGAGCUCCCUUAAUUUUUAGUAGAUAUUAGCGUGUCAGUGUGUGUUCUUCCUAUUAUUAAUAUUGCACCCAUUUUCCUAGGAGGCCAUAACCAUAUAAAGUAAGUAUAAAUUUAGUCCAAAUACUUUUAUAGAGGAUCUAAAUAAUUAAGAAUAUUGCAGUAAACUAUGUUAUCUAUAGGCUUUGUUAGAUCUACAUUCAUUAUAUAUAAUCUACUUACUUUUUUAUUUUAAUUUUUUUUUAAAAUGAAUGUAUUAUCAUAUAUUUGUAUUUCCUUCCUUUUAAAUAUAAUUUCCCCUUAUUAAUUUUCCUCUUCCUCUUUUUUCAAUUAUGUAGACAGAUGCAAUACAAGCUAGCGUCAAAGAGAUCGACUAUGAUUUUGUAGCUCCAAAAAUAAAAGCUGGUUCCAUUUAUGAAAUAACACAUUUCCACACUGGUCGCAACAAACCAUCUCACAAAAUUGUACCACACGUUGCACAAUUGUUCUUUAAUGCAAGAACAACUUUCAAAGAACUGCCAACCAUUCAGCCACACAUUCCACGACAUCGAUUUUAUUUGGUUGAUUAUACUCAAUUGUCCACUCGGAUUGACAAAAUUGACAUCCUAACAGGUAAUACUUUAUAUAUUAUUAAAAACUAUGCAUAUAUAUACAAUAAGUAUUUCUCCAAAAAAAUUUCACAUUUUAAUACCCUCAUAAUAUUUUCUUUAUCAUAUUGCAAGAUGUUUUUGGACACAUUACUGCAAUACAACCAUUGGAACAAAAAAUGGUGGGCAAUGAAAGGCUUGAGGAUAAAUGUGAAGUCUGCAUCGAAAAUAUCAGGUA
rnacentral:lncRNA from 1 species